rnacentral:rRNA from 1 species
CCUACGGGGGGCAGCAGUGAGGAAUAUUGGUCAAUGGACGAGAGUCUGAACCAGCCAAGUAGCGUGAAGGAUGACUGCCCUAUGGGUUGUAAACUUCUUUUAUAUGGGAAUAAAAUGUUCCACGUGUGGGAUUUUGUAUGUACCAUAUGAAUAAGGAUCGGCUAACUCCGUGCCAGCAGCCGCGGUAAUACGGAGGAUCCGAGCGUUAUCCGGAUUUAUUGGGUUUAAAGGGAGCGUAGGUGGAUUGUUAAGUCAGUUGUGAAAGUUUGCGGCUCAACCGUAAAAUUGCAGUUGAAACUGGCAGUCUUGAGUACAGUAGAGGUGGGCGGAAUUCGUGGUGUAGCGGUGAAAUGCUGAGAUAUCACGAAGAACUCCGAUUGCGAAGGCAGUUCACUGGACUGCAACUGACACUGAGGCUCGAAAGUGUGGGUAUCAAACAGGAUUAGAUACCCGGGUAGUC